CAUAUCACAUUGAAACACCAGUUCACGUACGAUCACCGAAGUUAAGCAACGUCGAGCCCGGUCAGUACCUAGAUGGGUGACAGCUUGGAAACAGCGGGUGCUGUAC